UCCGGUUUGACACCGGCAGUCUCGUUAGAGUCCCCGCCAUUACGCGCUGGCAACUAACGAUAGGGGUUUCGCUCGUUAAGGGACUUAACCCAACACUUCACAGCACGAGCUGACGACAGCCAUGCAUCACCUGUGCACGUUCCACCCCGAAGGGCGUGGCCCCGGUUUCCCGGGGUUAAUCCGUGCAUGUCAAACCCUGGAUAAGGUUCUUCGCGUUGCUUCGAAUUAAGCCACAUGCUCCACCGCUUGUGUGAGCCCCCGUCAAUUCCUUUGAGUUUUAGCCUUGCGACCGUACUCCCCAGGCGGUGCACUUAUCGUUUUAACUUCGGCCCCGAGGGCGUCAGAGCCUCCGGGACCUAGUGCACAACGUUUACGGCGUGGACUAC
rnacentral:misc_RNA from 1 species